UGGCCAAAUGCAAAUGCAGAAACCGAAACAGAAUCGGAAAAAAGGUGCCAAAUAGCUGGGGGGAAGCUCUACAAAAUAAGCCAACGGUCGCCGCGAGAGAAACACUUCCCAUUUCUUCCGGCCGCAGAGAGAGGAGCGAGGCUGAUGAUUAAAUUGGUUAAGAGCCGUUGGCCAUUGCAGCCAGGUCUGCUCUACCCGGGGCCAAAACCCCAGCCGUACCCCCCACCCCAUCUCAUCCCAAAAAACCCUUCCGCUUUCUGCCUUCCGACUGUUGCGCAUUUUGUGUUUUGCUCUCAACGUUUAUUUCGGCCUUCUUUUUCUGGCCAAAUGAUUCAAUUUCAUGCAUUUCGCUUUGCGGCAAUGGGGAUGCUUAUUAGUUGCAAUUUGCCAGCUGCGGCUAAAGUUUGCUCUAGCCGAAAACCAACAGCAAGUCCCAGAAACUAAACCAAAUAAAUUUAAUAAUUGCCGUCCUGAGAAGUUGAUAGAAUGGGUAAAAACAAAGGAGGCGGCGGCGGCGGAGGAGGAGGAGGAGGUGGUGGAGGGGGUGGAGGAGGCGGCGGCGGCAAUGUAAGCAAUAUUUGUGUUAUGCAACUUGCGUACUAAUUAAAAAAGGAGGCGGUGGCGGUGGCGGAGGUGGCGGCGGAGGCGGAUCCGGAAAUAAAAACAAAGGCGGCGAUGGAGGCGGCGGUGACAAAGGUGGUGCCAAGAAAGGACAGGACCAAAAGGCAGCCGCAGGCGGAGGCAAGAAAGGAGGCAAGAAAUAGCAACGGUGGCAACAUCAAAGCGCAUUAAAAAUUACAAAUUUAGAGUUAAGUUGAAAUUAAAAGUGAUAUCAGGGUUUAUGUAUCCAUAAUGUA